GACGAACGCUGGCGGCGUGCUUAACACAUGCAAGUCGUACGGAAAGGCCCUGCUUUUGUGGGGUGCUCGAGUGGCGAACGGGUGAGUAACACGUGAGUAACCUGCCCUUGACUUUGGGAUAACUUCAGGAAACUGGGGCUAAUACCGGAUAGGAGCUCCUGCUGCAUGGUGGGGGUUGGAAAGUUUCGGCGGUUGGGGAUGGACUCGCGGCUUAUCAGCUUGUUGGUGGGGUAGUGGCUUACCAAGGCUUUGACGGGUAGCCGGCCUGAGAGGGUGACCGGCCACAUUGGGACUGAGAUACGGCCCAGUCUCCUACGGGAGGCAGCAGUGGGGAAUAUUGCACAAUGGGCGGAAGCCUGAUGCAGCAACGCCGCGUGCGGGAUGACGGCCUUCGGGUUGUAAACCGCUUUCGCCUGUGACGAAGCGUGAGUGACGGUAAUGGGUAAAGAAGCACCGGCUAACUACGUG
rnacentral:rRNA from 1 species